UACGAAGGGGGCUAGCGUUGCUCGGAAUCACUGGGCGUAAAGCGCACGUAGGCGGAUCGUUAAGUCAGGGGUGAAAUCCUGGAGCUCAACUCCAGAACUGCCUUUGAUACUGGCGACCUUGAGUUCGGGAGAGGUGAGUGGAACUGCGAGUGUAGAGGUGAAAUUCGUAGAUAUUCGCAAGAACACCAGUGGCGAAGGCGGCUCACUGGCCCGGUACUGACGCUGAGGUGCGAAAGCGUGGGGAGCAAACAGG
rnacentral:rRNA from 1 species